AAUAUUGGACAAUGGACGAAAGUCUGAUCCAGCGACGCCGCGUGGAGGAUUGAAGGCCUUCGGGUUGUAAACUCCUUUUAUGUGGGAAGAUUAUGACGGUACCACAAGAAUAAGCACCUGCUAACUACGUGCCAGAAGCCUCGGUAAUACGUAGGGUGCAAGCGUUAUCCGGAUUCAUUGGGCGUAAAGAGUUGCGUAGGCGGACUGUUACAUCUUGUUGUAAAGCCCACGGCUUAACCGUGGUCUCUGGCAGGAUAUGGGCAGACUAGAGAAAAAGAUAGGGUACUGGAACCGAUGGUGAAGCAGUGAAAUGCGUUGAUAUCAUCGGGAACACCAAAGGCGUAGGCAGGUACCUGGCUUUUUUCUGACGCUGAGGCACGAAAGCUAGGUUCGCGAAGCAGAUUAGAGACCUGCGUAGUCCUAGCCGUAAACUAUCCUUGCUAGAUACCGGGGGUUUCUUCGGUGUCGUAAGCUAACGCGUUAAGCAAGGCGCCUGGGGAGUACGAGCGCAAGCUUAAAACUCAAAGGAAUUGACGGGGAGGCGCACAAGCAGUGGAGCGUGUGGUUUAAUUCGAAACAAAGCGAAAAACCUCACCAGGGUUUGACAUGCAAUUGCUAAGCCUAUGAAAGUAGGCCUCCUUCGAGGGUAUUGCACAGAUGCUGCAUGGCUGUCGUCAGCUCGUGGCGUGGGAUCUGGAAAAAGAUCAAUCGCGCCCGUUGACAGCAAUGUCAAAUGGAAAAUUCGGCUCAUAUCGGUGAAUCUAUUUAUAUUCGGGUUUAUUUCGGAUAUAAUUGAAAUACCGAGGGAAGUCGGGAAGAAUGAUUUUCACUGCUCGUAAGAACUUAAAGCUUGAAGUUUCCAACAGACAAGUAGAAAUCUUAAUUGGCUGUUUGCUAGGUGAUGCUUAUCUAACUAAAUUAGGUAAAAUUCAAAUUGAACAAUCAGACAAACAAAGAGAGUAUAUUUAUUGGAAGCAUUCAGAGCUUGCCUCGAUAAGCUACUCGCAAAUCAAAGAAGUAACUCGUUUUGAAAAACGAGACGACAGAGUAACAAAGUCUUUCAGAUUUUGGACUCGACAGUAUUUCAGAGAAUGGCGAGAAAAGUUUUAUCAGAAAGAUCGCAAAAUUUUCCCAAAAGAACUAGCAAAGUGGAUAACUCCAUUAGCCGUUGCCGUUUGGUAUAUGGAUGAUGGUAGUUAUCAGAAGUAUAACUGUACUUUAUCGACUGAAUCAUUUGAUUUAGAAAGUAAAGAACAUCUUAUCGAUGCUUUAGAGUCUUUUGGUAUUGGAGCGGUUUUUAGAGGUAAAGGAAAGAUCAGGGUUGUGAACUCUGAUCUAAAUAAGUUUUUCGAGUUGAUUUCGCCUUAUAUUCAUGCGAGUAUGAGGUAUAAAACUUCCUUGACCCUGUAACGACUAAUAUGGAAGGUACCAGAUAAUCUGGAAUUAAACUUCCAUUAUACGCCGAACACCCUAAAAUCGAAGUCGUUUAGACUUCGAAAACAGGGUGAUGGGAUAGUCUAAUAUUUGCUUUAAUGCAAAUUCGGAGCUGUACCGUUAAGUCGGGAAACGAGCGCAACCCGCACCGUAUGUUAAAUAGUUCAUGCGGAACUGCCCCUUUUUGGGGAGGAAGGCGCGGAUGACGUCAAGUCAGCACGGCUCUUACACCCUGGGCUACACACACCCUACAAUGGCGAAAAACAAUGAGUUGCAAACCGGUAACGGCAAGCUAACCCCAGAAAUUUCGCCUCAGUUCAGAUUGAGGUCUGCAAUUCGACCUCAUGAAGUUGGAAUUGCUAGUAAUCGCGAAUCAGCAGGUCGCGGUGAAUACGUUCUCGCCUCUUGUACACACCGCCCGUCAAGGCAGCAAAGUUGGGGGCACCCGAA
rnacentral:rRNA from 1 species